rnacentral:lncRNA from 13 species
AUGGGUUCUCUCCAGGGGCUGAGACCAGCGGACAGGGUUCACUGGUCAAACAACCAACCUCUGAUGACUCCUCAGAUGGAAAUAUCUCAGAAGAGAGUGCAGGGUAUGAGUGGGAGGAUGACUUCCCCCUUUUGCCCAUUCCAACUUCCUCAUCCAAGAUGGCUGCCUCCUCCUCAGGCUCAUCCCCCUCCGUACCCAGGCUGCCCUUCACCUCUAAGGCCCCGGAGCCCAAACCAGCAGUGCGGUACUCCCGCUUCACAGUCUCCCCAAGCCACGUGUCUCGCUUCUCCAUCACACACGUCUCUGACUCUGAUGUGGACUCUGGUCCAGGUGGGUCCUGGUGACAGACACAAACACUUCUUGAGGAUAAGUAAUUGUAUGGAUUUUGCAUAGUGGAUAAUGACGCGUUCUGUCUGUCUGUCUGUCUGUCUGUGCAGGGAGCAGUGAGGAUGGAGACAGAGUAUUAUAGAACCACACAGCCACCCAGAAACUGCAGGAACUGCACCGUAUAAACAUGUCUGAGCCUCUAAACAUGACUUUUGUUUGGUGCUUUUUUUGGACAUCAGCUUUCUGAAAAGACAGUGCCUGAUUGUUUAUGAACACUUUUUGAACGGAGUCUGUACAAUGGAUGUGAAAGCAGAGAAUCAACACCGAUGAGAAUAUAUAAAAUACUAAAGGAUGAUAAUGUACACAUACACAGAAGAAUAUCUGUUUUUCAAAAUAACUUGAAUGAUGGUAAAGACGAAGAGAGAAACUAAAGGACAAACGUGUUGCUCGUUUGCCACCAUAGACACUCAUUAUCAGCAUGUUAUGGAGAACCACACAACAUUACCGCUUGUUACGUGGAAG